UACAGAGGGUGCAAGCGUUGUUCGGAAUUAUUGGGCGUAAAGGGCGCGUAGGCGGUGCGGUAAGUCUGUAGUGAAAUCUCUGGGCUCAACUCAGAGUCUGCUGCAGAAACUGCCGUGCUUGAGUGGUGGGAGAGGUGAGUGGAAUUCCGGGUGUAGUGGUGAAAUGCGUAGAGAUCCGGAGGAACCCCAGAGGCGAAGGCGACGCCUGGCUCGUACCUGACGCUCAGCCACGAAAAGCAUGGGGAGCGAACGGG
rnacentral:rRNA from 1 species